UACGAAGGGAGCUAGCGUUGUUCGGAAUCACUGGGCGUAAAGCGCACGUAGGCGGAUGUGUCAGUCAGGGGUGAAAUCCCGGGGCUCAACCUCGGAACUGCCUUUGAUACAGCACGUCUUGAGUUCGGGAGAGGUGAGUGGAACUGCGAGUGUAGAGGUGAAAUUCGUAGAUAUUCGCAAGAACACCAGUGGCGAAGGCGGCUCACUGGCCCGAUACUGACGCUGAGGCACGAAAGCGUGGGGAGCAAACAGG
rnacentral:rRNA from 1 species